UCUCCUCAUCCACGCACCGAACAGCCCCCGUCGAUGGCGCUCGGCCCCGUCGCUCCCCCGCCCCGUCGCCGGCCCUCCCCCGCCCUGUCGCCGGCCCUCCCCCGCCGCCCUGUCACCGGCCCCGUUGCUCCCCCGCCCUGUCGCCAGCCGCGUCGCUCCCCCGCCCUGUCGCCGGCCCUCCCCCGCCCCGUCGCCGGCCCUCCCCCUCGUCCAUGACCUGCCCCGUCGAGGUCCAGGUCCGCGAUGGAUCCGCUUACGCCGGCGUCUUCCACACCGCCUGCCUCGACGCCGGAUAUGGUGAAUUUGUGUCUAUGCUCUGUGGCGUCGAUCUGUAAAUCUUCCGAUGCUAUUUUGUGCCAUAUGGGCAAACACUAAGUUCUGAGGAAGAGAUGUCAUAUGUGUACCAUAUGGACAAACCACUCUACAUUCUAAAGGACGGGCAGAACGUGCAUCCCCUGGUGAGGAGCUUGAUAGGAAGAGAUCUCAAGCGCGAUCUCAAGCGCACACACUAUACGAGGCUUCAGGAGGAAGGAUUCUAUGCUGUUCUAUUAUCUCCCCUUCUAGAACAGUUUUAACAUGGUCCCUCUGUAGUUGUUUCUGUAUAUGUACCUUGCAUAGGGUAUAGUUCAUGGUGAUAAUUCCAUUAUAUUUUUAUCAAUACACCACAUCAAUCUUAUAACUAGCUAGAAGAAACGGCCUACCUCAUGCUCCCGUUUGAGUCUUGUGUGCAAGCUCAUAUUAUGAAAUGAUAUAAGCAUGCUUGAUUCAAGGAAGUUGCUGGUCUGAUGUCACGUUAUACAACUUGUCCUUCUACAUUCCUGAAGUACUAAAAAAUGGAAAGUAAUGCAUUUCCUUCUAAUUCAUAUUUUUAUUUUUGAUUGUACUACGAAUGUAUAUGAGAUUAUCAUAUAUUUUGUAGAACGAUCGCCCUGGUCGCUGUUUUAUUCCUCUGUUAAUCUAUUUCAAAUAUCUUUAAUCAGAGUCAAAGCAUGACAUAAUAGUUGGGUGUUUAGCUGUGUUUUUUCUGCAUCUCCAUCCAGAUUUGUGUCCCAGAUCAUGGAGGAAUUACUCUCUCUGCUGGUGCGUUUACAGUGCAUUAUUUGUAGUUCUAUUGGGAAGACAGUUAGAGACCCCGAGAGGCUGCUGCGAGCUGCUAUUCCCCUCCUUGAGCUGGCGGACUGAUGAUGGAGGACCCGCCCUCUUCGCUGCACCGGCGCCGCCGCUGCUACUUCUGCUUCUGUUGCCCGUUGGCCCAGGGCGGCACAUGUCCUCUGCUUCUAAGGCUUCUUCUGCUGAUGGUCUUCAAGGUGCUGCUGCUGCUCCCAAGCUGUGGCUGGCUUCGCUGCUGCAGCACCAUGCCAUCUUCAGCGACUCACCAACGACGGCAGCUCCUCCGCUUCAGGGCUACUGCGGCAUGCGUGUCUCCCUCCUCCAGGGAGGCUGUGCGGCACCGAGCGGGUGUACGGCGAGGUCUUCGUAAUGGCGUCAAGUCACUCUUGCCAUAUGGAUCAUAUGUAAGCUCUUCCUACUCCUACAGGAGUACAUUUUCAUGCUUCAAAUAUGAACCUAUGUCAGGGGAAAGCAGCAGACCAUAAGCAGCAUGUCCAUCUUUUUAAUUUAUGCAGAUUUAGUAAAUUAUUUUCUUGAUCGUUUUGGAACCAUUUGUCUCUGAAGCAAAAUAAUGUGAAGUAAGAUUAUGCCAUUAUGUUAACAUUAUGUGUAGUAAGAUUCUGCCAUUUUGUGUCUCUGCAUUUCAAUUGUCAACACAUAUUGAUCUGUGUAUUGAACAAAACAUAUAGGCUGUUCUUCGAAAGUUUGAGUAUUGAUUUCAGAAAGAAAAAAAGUGUCGCCGCUAAUGUAUUGAUAGUACAGAUGCUGAUGUUAAUUUGGACACCUCGAAGCAUUUAUUUAUCCUUUUUUGUUGAAAUGGAGUCUGUACAAAUGGAGUAUGGAAAUGCAUAAAUCUGAACUGACCAAAUGGUACGAUGCUCAGUGUGUAAGAUUGAUCAAUUGAUCAAGAUUACAAAAGAAUGCACACAAGGAGCAUUAAAAGGCAUAAAAGGAGAUUUAAUUUUAGGUUGAUUGUUUAGUCCAUCACCAUAGCACUUUUUUCCUAACACUUUCGACAACCAUAGCACUUUACUGAACUUGUACAUGCACUCCUUCUAGAGUACUCCUUCAGUACAUGUUCAAUUGUAGUCUUCUUCUUCUAGUCUUCUUCUAACUUUCUUCUUUCCCAUU